rnacentral:lncRNA from 1 species
UAUUCUAAGCACCAAGACAAGACACCAUACAUCAGGCUUACAGAAGGACAACAAAAAGAAUCAAGUAUGAGACAUCAGUUGUACAGAAUGAAAGCUAAAACAUCCAUUUGACGCGGGUCGCCGGCUUCAUGGUUCAUUUCCUUAUGUUUGCUUCCUACAGAAGCUAAAGAAGUCUCAAUUAUUAGAAUGUUCAAUUAAUUUAUGAAAUUGAAUAGAGACAGAAUUCAUAUCUGCACUAUGCGCACACAAGAGCACAAAAUGAGGAAUACACUUAUCUAAUCUAUAAAAUUAGCAUUUCGAAACAUGAAGACCACCAAUCGACUCCCAGCAGUGGCCAUGGAUGUGGCAUAGAAGCCCUGUGUACGAUUGCUGAGCAUUUAGUGUUCCUAGGGACAUACUUAAGUUACUGUGCAUAGGUCCCAGCAGCCAUUAUUCGAACACUUGUUUCCAAAAAAAAUAAACGUCCGUAGGGAAUAGUGUCAUAGGUAUAAGAGAAAUAAAAAUGAGUUGUGCGAACGACCAAUAUUUUCUUUACUGUUCAGGCCAUACAAGGAAAAAUAUAUCAGAAAUUUAGAAUUAGUAUCUCAAACGUAGAACCAGGUUACACAUUUCUUUUGCAAUUUAUGAAGGCAUAACCAGCAUCUGCAUGAUAACUAAAUAUAUGUACACUGCUUAUUAAUCUGUACGUACAGAUUAUAAAUACUAGGAUUUUCCUCAUACUUACUGAUUAAUAGCUCAUGGGUGGGCGCCUUCUUCAUGGCUGGGUAGAAUGGAAAAAUUACGCGUGCUGCCAUAUUGAAAUAUAGUUAGUCAAGAUCUUUUUUUAGGGAUAGUUAGUCAAGAUCUUGAUAAAGAUACAAUGUACUAUAUUGGCCUAGAGACAGGAUUCAGAAAUAGCAACUUUAAAAGCAACUAGCGAUGUAUUAUGCUCUGUUCUGUACUAUGGAUGUGCCAAUGGGAGUGUUCUGUAAUGCCAAAUUUAACUAUUACUAUUAAGCAAUAAGCAGCUAGCAGUGUAAACAAGAUACAAUGUUCUGACAAAUUUAACUAUUAUUAAGAGCAACUAGCAGUGUUCUGUACUAAUUGUAGAAAGUAGGCUCUGUACCCGUUUACCAUAAAUCAUAUUGUAGUGUUCAAUAAAACACAGGGAAACCAAUUAAAUGAAUCUGAACAUUGUUAAAAAGAUUGACAACGGCUCUGUUUCACUUCUCUUUUAAUUGAGUAAUUAGUUCUUUUGAUGGAGAGAACAAAUCAAUGCUGACCAAGAACUAAAAGUGUAAAAUAAUGAUAAACUUAUGUCCAGAUUAACUUAUGUAAUCUGGUCAUCAUGGGAUCUUCAUGCACUUUGAGCUAGGAUCCCAUGAUAAAUCAAUGCUGACCAGAUUCCAUGCACUCUUCAUCAUCUUCUUCUUCACCAUCAUUAUCUUCCUCAGCUUCAACUCUUGAGUUCUAUCAGACAACAAUAUGGAGAUGAGUUAUCGCGUGCAAGAUGGAUUAUUGAUUCAAUGAAAAGUUGUGGAAAUAGUCCACUACUAGUCGAGAACUGGAACCGUGCUACGAGCUAGGACUUAGAAAACAUUAGACGAUCGUACACAACACUUACUUCUUUCAAUAUCGCUUGCAUUAAGAACUAAUCCAUCUCUAUAUGGCCUAGCAGAAACAGAAGCAAAACCUGUGUUCUGAUCUUUGAGCAUUCUGAAUAUCACUGCCUAUCCAACCAAAAUGCGCAGGCUAAAGAAAGAAGGAAAGAAAAUAUCCUAGCAAAAUUAUGUUAGAGUAAUUGUUUAAGUGAGCAAUGGUACUGACCAGUUUGACCCGUCCCCCGGGUAUAUAUAAUACUCCUUUGGUUACAUAGUAUAUGCUCACAGAAUAGGUAGCAACUUCCUUUGGUUACCACACCACUAGACCCGACUUGAAUGUUAUUUGGGAAAGGCAAUGGUCUCCCCUAGGAUGAUUACUAGAUGAAAUCAAAGAACAUGACUAUUUUGGCUCACGGCACGGAAAGAAAAUAAAUGAAACUCUACCUCCACAUUUUAAUCCAACUAUUAUGAAGGAGAAAAAAAACCUUUAUCACGAUGCAUACAACACAAAUUUAUGAUGCAUGCAACCAAUAUUGUUAGUACAAUAGAUGUACCGAUUGGAUGGUCAAGCUAUUGUGAAUUCAAGUGUCGCAAAUAAUACAUGGUAAGUCUACACACUUGCUGGUUCUUUACCAUUUGACCAGUGCUGGUAUUAAUGAACUUUCUUAUGACACGAGACUUCAUCAGAAUAUUAACAAAGAGAUAGACUUGUGCUAUAGGUUUCGGAAAGUCCAGGACACCAUGUGCUAUAGGUUUCGGGACUGAUGGACCGCAAUAUAGUAGUAUGAAUGUACGCCAGUCUGAUGGUGUGGUUCUUCCAUUCAUUCUAAGAAAAGUACAAUCGUGCUUGUGCUUUCAUAUGCUAAUCACAAAUGACUGAGGAUGAUCGAUAGAUGAGCAACCAGAAAAGGCCUAUGUACAUCUUACCUGGCUACAUCGCCAUUGUGCAUAAAUAGAAGGAGCUUCUUGAAGAAUCCUCAGUUCUUCCUCUUGUUUCAAAUUCAUGUAUAGCAAUUCAGUUGCACCCUCUUGUUCCAGAUUCAUGUACAUAAAUAAUAAAAUAGGUACUUAUCCU